rnacentral:rRNA from 1 species
CCGGCCGGCAGUUGCAGAAAACCAUGUGUCAGGGGAACCGGGUUGAAUACCGGGCCGCAGAGGGUGAGGGCCCCGUACCUGAACGCGCAUGGUCUGCCGAUCGCGUCUCCCAAGUAGCACGGGUCCCGUGGAACCCCGUGCGAAUCCGCCCAGACCGUUGGGUAAGCCUGAAUAUUCCUGUCUGACCGAUAGCGAACGAGUACCGUGAGGGAAAGGUGAAAAGUACCCCGGGAGGGGAGUGAAACAGUCUCUGAAACCGUGCGCCUACAAUCCGUCGGAGCCCUUUUGUGGGGUGACGGCGUGCCUAUCGAAAAAUGAGUCUGCGAGUCAGUGGCAUGUGGCGAGCAUAACCCGUGUGGGGUAUGCGUAGCGAAGGCGAGUCUUAAAAGGCGUUUGAGUCGCGUGUCCUGGACCCGAAGCGGGAUGAUCUAGCCCUGAGCAGGUUGAAGCGCGGGUAAGACCGCGUGGAGGACCGAACCCACCUGGGUUGAAAACCGGGGGGAUGACUUGGGGCUAGGGGUGAAAGGCCAAUCAAAUUCCGUGAUAGCUGGUUCUCUCCGAAAUGCAUUUGGGUGCAGCGUCGGGUCAUUACGUCCCGGGGGUAGAGCUACUGGAUGCUUGCGGGCCCGUAUCGGGUACCAACAGCAACCAAACUCCGAAUACCGGUGACGCGUAUCCCGGCAGUGAGUCGGCGGGGGAUAAGCUUCGUCGUCGAAAGGGAAACAGCCCAGACCGUCGUCUAAGGUCCCGAAGCGUGUGCUAAGUGGGAAAGGAUGUGGAGUCGCAUAGACAGCCAGGAGGUUGGCUCAGAAGCAGCCACCCUUGAAAGAGUGCGUAACAGCUCACUGGUCUAGUGGUUCCGCGCCGACAAUGUAGCGGGGCUCAAGCACACCACCGAAGACGCGGCAGUAUUUUGUACUGGGUAGGAGAGCGUCCCAUGAGGGGCGAAGCGGCCGUGUGAACGCGCCGUGGACUUCAUGGGAGUGAGAAUGCAGACAUGAGUAGCGAGAGACGGGUGAAGAUCCCGUCCGCUGGAUGACCAAGGGUUCCAGGGCCACGUUCAUCGUCCCUGGGUGAGUCGGGUCCUAAGGCGAGGCCGACAGGCGUAGUCGAAUGGAUGAACGGGUCGAUAUUCCCGUACCGGCUUUCAGCCGCCAAAACCGAGGCUUGGAGUACUAACCUCCGGGUCCGGGCUUACUGCUCCUUCGGGGGCGGGAUGCCCUGGCCUGUUGGGACCGAUCCUUGUAGUAGGUCAGCGCAGGAGUGACGCAGAAGGGUAGCCGGCCGCGGAGGUGGUCUUCCGUGGUCAAGCACGCAGGGCGUGGGACAGGCAAAUCCGUCCCGCAUGGGUCCGAGGUGCGAUGAUGGGGGCCUUAUGGCCCGAUAUCCGGUGAUCCCGGCUGCCGAGAAAAGCUUCGGCGUCAGGCUCAAAGCCGCCCGUACCCCAAACCGACACUGGUGGUCAGGUAGAGAAUACCAAAGCGAUCGAGCGAAUCCUGGUCAAGGAACUCGGCAAAUCACUCCCGUUCCUUCGGUUUAAGGGAGACCCCCGAUGGUGAACACACUUGCUGUGGGAGCUUUUGGGGGUGGCACAGACCAGGGGGUAGCGACUGUUUACCAAAAACACAGGUGCAUGCGAAGGCGCAAGCCGCUGUAUAUGCACUGACGCCUGCCCGGUGCCGGAAGGUUAAGAGGAUCCGUCAGCCUUCGGGUGAAGCGGUGAAUUCAAGCCCCGGUAAACGGCGGUGGUAACUAUAACCAUCCUAAGGUAGCGAAAUUCCUUGUCGGGUAAGUUCCGACCUGCACGAAUGGCGUA